AACGAACGCUGGCGGCAGGCCUAACACAUGCAAGUCGAACGCUCGCAGCAAUACGGGAGUGGCAGACGGGUGAGUAACGCGUGGGAAUCUACCCAAUGGUACGGAAUAACUCAGGGAAACUUGAGCUAAUACCGUAUGUGCCCGAAAGGGGAAAGAUUUAUCGCCAUUGGAUGAGCCCGCGUCGGAUUAGCUAGUUGGUGGGGUAACGGCCCACCAAGGCGACGAUCCGUAGCUGGUCUGAGAGGAUGAUCAGCCACACUGGGACUGAGACACGGCCCAGACUCCUACGGGAGGCAGCAGUGGGGAAUAUUGGACAAUGGGCGCAAGCCUGAUCCAGCCAUGCCGCGUGAGUGAUGAAGGCCCUAGGGUUGUAAAGCUCUUUCGGCGGGGACGAUAAUGACGGUACCCGCAGAAGAAGCCCCGGCUAACUUCGUGCCAGCCGCCGCCGUAA
rnacentral:rRNA from 1 species